rnacentral:rRNA from 1 species
GAUGAACGCUGGCGGCGUGCCUAAUACAUGCAAGUCGAGCGAACGGACGAGACGCUUGCUUCUCUGAUGUUAGCGGCGGACGGGUGAGUAACACGUGGAUCACCUACCUAUAAGACUGGGAUCACUUCGGGAAACCGGCGCUAAUCCCGGAUAAUAUUUUGAACCGCAUGGUUCAAAAGUGAAAGACGGUCUUGCUGUCACUUCUAGAUGGAUCCGCGCUGCAUUAGCUAGUUGGUAAGGUAACGGCUUACCAAGGCAACGAUGCAUAGCCGACCUGAGAGGGUGAUCGGCCACACUGGAACGGAGACACGGUCCAGACUCCUACGGGAGGCAGCAGUAGGGAAUCGUCCGCAAUGGGCGAAAGCCUGACGGAGCAACGCCGCGUGAGUGAUGACGGUCUUCGGAUCGUAAAACUCUGUUAUUAGGGAAGAACAUAUGUGUAAGUAACUGUGCAGAUCUUGACGGUACCUAAUCAGAAAGCCACGGCUAACUACGUG